UACGAAGGGGGCUAGCGUUGUUCGGAAUUACUGGGCGUAAAGCGCACGUAGGCGGAUCGAUCAGUCAGGGGUGAAAUCCCAGAGCUCAACUCUGGAACUGCCUUUGAUACUGUCGGUCUAGAGUAUGGAAGAGGUGAGUGGAAUUCCGAGUGUAGAGGUGAAAUUCGUAGAUAUUCGGAGGAACACCAGUGGUGAAGGCG
rnacentral:rRNA from 1 species